UCCCUUCUGGUCAAUACUCCAUUGCAGAGCUUGGUGACCACGCCCAUGACUUGGAACCCAAUGUGUCCUCUACAGACUUAUUCAGAAACACCGAAUUGAGAGCAGUGUGUCAGUCAUCCAGUCCCACACCAAACAGCCCUGAGCAUGAGGUGCAUUGUGUCAGAGGUCAAUGUAACACUUCUUCUGCGAAAGAGGGGUUUGGAGAAAUUCCUGUCCAGCACCAGGAGAUUUCACCCCCUAC